CGAAGUAUAGCUUAAUUUAAAGCCUUUCGCUUACACCGAGAAAAAGUCCGUUAAAUACGGUCUACUUCCA
rnacentral:tRNA from 1 species